CCGGGCCGCAAACGUUUGCCCAAGUCGCGCAUGUUUGUGUUGUGCUGUGACCUGGCCGUUCAAAACCCGCCGGGAUGGAUCCCCGACACGCACGCACGCACAAACGGCAAGCCAGCCUUUUUCCCAUGACUGAAGCUUGUUUGUUUUGAAGCAAACGCAAGAGGGAGGGUAAAAAAAAGAUUUGCCGCUAAAUUUCUUGCGUCUUUGACAUUUUGCCCCAAGCAACGAAGAUGAUUUUCCAUGGGCGCGUCCAGCGUUUUGCGCCUCCCCCGAGACCAGCACGUUAACGCAACUUUGUGAACUCUCACAAGUUCUUCCUGAUCUGCACACACAAACAACAUCACAAAUAACAUAUUUGACUCAAUCGUGCAUCCGUAUGUAAUCUGCCAUACGUGCGUGCGUGGACGGAGGGCGGCCUCCCGGCACCCUGUUACAUCACAUCCCAAAUGUCCACACGCAGCCAUUGUCUGCGCGAGUCCCCUUUGUGCCUGCGCAGGAAGUGGCAAGAAAUCUGAUGUUUGGCCCAAGCGAAGCCCCGGAAUUGUCUUUGCGGCCACGGUUGCUCUCCACCGGACAAAAGCGCCUUCCGCAAGCCUUAAAUUACUCCUCCAUUCUCCUUCGCCUUUGACCUCCCCAAAAGAAGAGAAAUUCCUUCGAAGUGCUGGGGACACGUCACGCUCGCGCGCACGAAACGGAAAAGACGAUCUCACCGUAUGCGACUUCCUUUCGUGCCACUUUGGAUGAACUGCGCGUGUGUCAGUCAAGCCAGUUGAAAUUUGGGAAUCUUAGCACCGAUUGAAACCACAGGUGUCAAACUCGAGUUCUGAGGCCAGGUCUGGUCCUCCGCCUCAAUUUAUGUGGCCCAUAAAAGCAAAUCACGCAGGUCAACUUCGAUGAUGCCUGCCAAUAUCUGUACCAACGUUUGAAACGGUCAGAUGGAAGGAAUCCAUCAUGUUGAGCUCUUGCUAGCAUCUUCUUGUUACCUUGAUGACAGUCACGUGAGCAAUAGUUGAACAAACUCUUCUGAUCGCAAAACUAAUUAUUCAUCAAUUAGUUGUGUAGCUGUUUAAGUCACUACUAAGCUAACCGGGCAAGAGUCAGACUGAUUCAUGAAUCACUUCGAGGAGUUCUCCACAGUUACCCAUCUGGGGCCGCGCCAUUGGGAUCUGCUGGGGAAAGGCGGGACACUCGCUACAAUACUUGGCGCUGAUUGGGCACUUCCUUUGCGGGCCCCCUGGGGGCGGGCAAGGGUCAGCGAUGACGCAUGCUCCCCCUCUGCAUGAUUUGGAGACAAACACAGCAGGCGGCCCGACUUCCGGGGAGGACCUGCGAUGACUUUCUCGUGAGAAAAAUAAAUGGAGCCUUCUCAAACAAACAGUUGUUCUUUCUCUUCAAAUUGUAGGCCGACGUUUAUUUCAACACUUUUCUCCAGAAAACAUGUUGAUGGUAUUUCAAAGGCCUAAUGUCUAACUAAUGACUAACAAGUUGAUUUGAAAGUGGGCAUGGGCCAAAGACCGGUUUGACGGUUGACCGCGCCACUUCCAUGUCGGCUUCUCGGGGUCAGAUUUGAAUUUUAUAAACAUCUUUUUAAAUGAUACAAUCAUAAUUCAUGCUGAUGUUUUCUUAUUUUUAAUUUAAUUACAAUUAACCAAUUAAAUGUUUUUUUUUUACUUGAUUGUUUGUAAUGACAAAACAGUGGGUUUGGGUUUGGAAAUAUUAAAAUAACAUGCGAUGAUUGAAUUUGAUGAACCAUAAAGAACUGACAAUUUACUGUUUGGGUUUUUUUUUUUCUUAAUUGGUGAGUGCAUCUUCCCCAAGCCUGCAAAAAGCAUUUUCGUUGUGGGAGUGAUGCUGGGCUCCCUCUUGUUUGGAGCGCUCUCUGAUAAGAACGAUGACAUUCCCUUUCAGUAAGACUCUCUCGCAUUGGCUGUGGGUUGAGUGCUCGUCUCGUUGGCUUGUUUUCACCUCAGCAGCGCAUGACAAGAGCGACUUGGACUUUGAAUGUUGUUCCCAUUCGGGAGCAGAGCUUACUUUGUGGUCAUCUGCUGCCCCCUCUUGGUGAGGAGUGUGUAUCACUGUUGCAAGAAGUGAACUGCAAUAUCGUGACCGACAGCCGUGCUCGUCGUACUCGCUCGAGACAGGACGGUUUGGGCUUUACGGGCGUGUUUUGAGUCUGUGGCUCAUCUGGUUCUCCUCCUUGAGGACGUGUGGGCCCUGCUCCCCCCCAGGCGGCCCGAUGUGCCGGCGCGGGGUUCUGCGGACUGUUGGUGCUGGUCCUGCCCGAAACCCUCAACCUCGGCCCAUCCUCGGACGCGGAGAAGCCCGGAUGUUUUCAGGGACGUGACGUCACAAUGGAGCGACGGGAACUCCUCGGUGGCAUCAGCAGGUUACAACAGAGACUGCAAGAGUCACAGAAAGACCUUUUUUCAAAAGUUUACAGCACAGAUAACAGCACCCCCCGCCACCCCCCCAAAAAAUGCAAGCAUGGAACGAAACAAAGCAUCGCUUACAGUACUCCGGACUUUCCUCCC